GACAGAGGUGCCGAGCGUUAGGCGGAAUCACUGGGCUUAAAGCGUGUGUAGGCGGACUUCUAAGUACCUUGUGAAAUCCCACGGCUCAACCGUGGAACUGCUUGGUAUACUGGUCGUCUUGAGCCACCUAGCGGCAACCGGAACAAACGGUGGAGCGGUGAAAUGCGUAGAUAUCGUUUGGAACGCCAAUGGUGAAAACAGGUUGCUGGGGGUGUGCUGACGCUGAGACACGAAAGCCAGGGGAGCAAACGGG
rnacentral:rRNA from 1 species